GUACGGGGGGGGCAAGCGUUGUUCGGAAUUACUGGGCGUAAAGGGCUCGUAGGCGGCCAACUAAGUCAGACAUGAAAUCCCUCGGCUUAACCGGGGAACUGCAUCUGAUACUGGAUGGCUUGAAGUUCGGGAGAGGGAUGCGGAAUUCCAGGUGUAGCGGUGAAAUGCGUAGAUAGUCGGGAGGAACACCGGUGGCGAAGGCGGGUCUCUGGGCCGAUACUGACGCUGAGGAGCGAAAGCGUGGGGAGCGAACAGG
rnacentral:rRNA from 1 species